CGCAGCACCGGUGCAGGUGAUCGGCACGGCCGAUGUGCACGGCCUGACGGUGCAGCUGGGCGAACGUCGCUGGUCGCUGCAGCUGCUGCGC
rnacentral:tRNA from 1 species